UACGUAGGGUGCGAGCGUUAAUCGGAAUUACUGGGCGUAAAGCGUGCGCAGGCGGUCUGUUAAGACCGAUGUGAAAUCCCCGGGCUUAACCUGGGAACUGCAUUGGUGACUGGCAGGCUUUGAGUGUGGCAGAGGGAGGUAGAAUUCCACGUGUAGCAGUGAAAUGCGUAGAGAUGUGGAGGAAUACCGAUGGCGAAGGCAGCCUCCUGGGCCAACACUGACGCUCAUGCACGAAAGCGUGGAGAGCAAACAGG
rnacentral:rRNA from 1 species